AAGAUACUAGUAAAAACACUACAUUGCUUUGUCAAGGCAAAAAUGUGGGUUAAAAUCCCACGUACCUU
rnacentral:tRNA from 1 species